AGCAUAGUGGCUUAAUGUUUAGCAUGUCUGACUCACACCUCCGGGGUUGGGGGUUCGAUUCCCACCUCUGCCC